rnacentral:misc_RNA from 1 species
AAUCAUCAACUCCCUUUGCUUUUUGGCGAAGGUGAGCUUGGAUUUGGGGACUUGCUGGCCUUUACGGGUUCUGGCUUCCCUUGAAUGCAUUAGCUGGUAAUUGAUUUGCAGCAUAUAUGCGGUGUGAUAAUGUCUUCACUGUGUAGCUCAAGUCGACUGGCUUCUAAUCGUCCUUCACGGGACAACAUUUUGAUC